GCGGGGGCCGUAGACGUAUCAACCCAACUGCAUUACAUAGUCCUUCAGAAUUGUUAAGUGCUGACUGCCCUGUUCAUAGGACUAAAGGGGGCAAAGUGCAAAGAGGAUUGUGAUGCGCUCCUAUAAUGAAUCUUUCAGUGAAGAAUAGAGGGUGUGAGGUUUGGACCACUCUGAAGGCAGCGAGGGUGUGAGGUUUAGACCACUCUGAAGGCAGUGAGGGUGUGAGGUUUGGACCACUGAAGGCAGCGAGGGUGUGAGGUUUAGACCACUCUGAAGGCAGCGAGGGUGUGAGGUUUGGACCACUCUGAAGGCAGCGAGGGUGUGAGGUUUAGACCACUCUGAAGGCAGCGAGGGUGUGAUUUGGGACAGAACGCUGUCAGUGUUGACAGCCAUGGAGACUGUAGACGGAGGUGCUUCAGCAUGUAUGCAAGACAGUGCCCUCAUUGCUCUGCGUUAGGUCCGUCUUCCUUCAAAAGUCCGCCCGACACACUCGCUCGCUCACACACACACACACACACACACACACACACACACACACACACAAGUGAUGAGCGUGAGGUUAGGUUCAGUCCAGCGCUAUGAAACAGGAAGCCCGGGAAUGCUGCACCAAAGACUAGUCUACACUAGCAAACUAGAAAUCAGACGAGUUGAGAACACACACAAAAACACCUCUGAGAUGUAGAGCCGUCUUUUUGUUUGUUUGCUUUGGUUUUUGUUCAUUUAUCUUCGUUGUUAUUUACCUGUCCUUAUCUUGUAGACUUAGAUAUGACCCAGACCUCAACGUGUAGGUGUUUGUACCUGUGCCAGAAUGGAAGAAUGAUGAUGAUGAUGAUGAUGAUGGCUUACACUGCUUCAGUUUGCUCUGCUGAUCACAGGGCCUCACUCCCCGGUCGCAGCUAACUUUGGGUCCAAGUGGUGUGCGUGUUGCAUGGAUCAAACCGAGAUUUUCACUAGGUUUCGUCAGUGCCGAACGUCACUGCUCAUAAAUAUGUAACGCCUGUGCCAAUGACAGGAGCUUUUCUCUCUCUGAGUUGUAUUUCUUGUAUAUUUUCAUUGUUGUGCCAUGUUGAAAUGUAGUAUUUAGACAAAUGACGGUAUUGGAAGAGGAUGGUCACAGGAAGGCUGAAGGUGGUAUUUGAUGAAGCAAAGACAAGUGUGUGUAAGGAAACAUUUAAUUGUACAAGAUAGAUGUGAAAAUCAAAUAGAAUGAAGAAUGAAGGCACUCUCCUAACAAUCAGCAGAGGCUCUUAAACUACCUUCUCAUCUCUCUGUAGCAUUUUAGCCAGCCUGCCCCUAAACCAUCACUGAAAGAGCACUGUGCACUUAGUGUCUUCACGUUUGUUUAUUCAUUGGCUUACACACGCUUGGGCGUGUGUGUGUGUGUGUGUGUGUGAAGAUCAAAUUAACCGAUCAAAAUGAAGUCAAACACAAAACCUGGCUUUUGUUUACACAUUCUGUUCUUAAUACUUGAAUCGGGAGCGUGGAUGAAGCUGCUUUUGUGACGAGGGCAUGCUAAGGGAAGGGGGAAAAAAUGAAUAAAAAUAAAUAAAAGAACAA